UAUUUAGAUACUAAAAUGAUCCAUCUUUGUGCUUGAUUUUUGCUGAUACUGUUUGUAUGGCAAAAGAAAAUGAUGACAGCGCCUUCAAACGAGGUACAUGUACUGUGGAACAAUAGCAGAGAUUUGAACCCUUAUAUUUCUGGGACAAGAAAAACUUGACACCGGGAGAAACACUAUGAGGUUUCUCUGUGUUUCACUUUCUUUAACCGUGAUUUGCUGGCUAGCUGAAGGCACCUUGUCGAAAACAGACGCAAAGAAAGCUGCUACAAAAAAACUGGAAGAAAAGACACUGCAUUCUGAUAAGAAUGUGCAGGACCGGGGACUGGUAGUUAUAGAUCCAAAGGCAAAGGACAUUAUACUGGAACACAGAAGCUACUGCUCUAAGAAGAUGAAAGAAAGACACUUCUCAGGAGAUGUUCUGGGAUAUAUUACUCCUUGGAACAGCCACGGCUAUGACAUUGCUAAAAUAUUUGGAAAUAAAUUUACAUUAAUCUCACCAGUCUGGUUACAAGUGAGAAGGAGAGGCAAGGAGAGAUUCCAGUUCACCGGGCUCCACGAUGUAGAUAAAGGCUGGAUGAAAGAUGUCAGAAAAAACUCCAAAAACAUCAAAAUAGUGCCUAGAAUUUUGUUCGAUGGCUGGACUUACCAUGACUUUGAGAGUGUUUUUGGCAGCGAAGAUGAGAUAGAAGAGCUUUCCCAGAGUAUGGUUCUGCUAGCUAAGAAUGAAAAUUUUAAUGGCUUUGUAGUCGAAGUUUGGAGUCAGCUGGGAAAUCAAAAGCAAAAGGAGUUGAUACACUUGCUCAUUCACCUUUCUGAAGCUCUGCAUGAAGCACAACUAAAACUCAUACUAGUCAUACCUCCAGCAGUUGCAGCAGGGACUAACCAGCCGGGAAUGUUCACAAAGAAAGAAUUUGAUCAGUUGGCCUCAGCAGUAGACAGCUUCAGUCUCAUGACAUAUGACUAUUCAACACCACAAAGACCUGGUCCAAAUUCUCCACUGCCCUGGGUACGAGCCUGUAUUCAAGUAUUGGAUCCUGAUUCAAAAUGGAGAAAUAAAAUACUUCUAGGGCUGAAUUUCUAUGGCAUGGACUAUUCUGCUUUGGGAGCCUUGGGGGAGCCAAUCCUCGGUACCAGGUACAUUGAAGUCUUGAAGGAGCACAAACCAAAGAUUGUCUGGGAUGAACAAAUUGCUGAACACUACUUUGAAUACAAAAAAAAUAAAGGAGGAAAACACGCCAUCUUCUAUCCAACACUGAAGUCCGUCCAGUUGCGCUUAGAGCUUGCAAAAGAAUUGGGCACUGGUAUAUCCAUCUGGGAACUGGGACAAGGCCUGGAUUAUUUUUAUGACCUGCUUUAAAGUAAGAGAUGAUGUGGGAAAGACUUCUGCUUCACUGAGACUCCACCUUCAAUUAAUUUGAGUAUCCCGGAGAGAUAUGAUUGUUGGUUUCUGAUAAGGUUCAGAGAAAAAAACUUGAAAGCUUCUGAAUUCACAGCGCUUAGAAACAGACCGACCUGCACAGCUGGGAUGACACUAGAACUGAAAAUAUUUUCUAGAUUUUUUUCUGCAAGAAAUGAAAUGGACAAACUGAUACCAUCUGAUCAGGGUAUAAGGUGGAUAUCUCUCAAACAGUUGCUGCUAAUUAUUUAAGUGAACAAAUAAAUUAAUCAGAUUAUGUCUGGCAAAUUUAACAUCUGCUGGACUCUGCAACCUGCUGUCUCUUAAUAAGCUGUGCUAGGGAUAACUGUCUUUAGCAUCCUCAGAGAUGGAAUGAAUACAUGUGUGUCAGAAAGAUCAAACUAACCCUACUAAAUCAUGAAGAAUAAAUACGAGAGGAAAAGUACAUUGUGAGUUCGAGCAAUUUAUGGCAUGAGGCUAAGGAUUUUGCCUUUUUGUCUCUAAAGAAUGUAAAAAAGCUGUGUACCACCAGUGACCCAUGAUGAAGGCAAGUUUCUCUUGAAAUUUACACCUCACUGCUUGGGUGAGAAGAUGACACGAGAGAGAUGCUGGUACAAAGCUGCUGAAAGCAAAGCAAAGGGCCACUUGGGAGUUGCUUUCAUGGGGCACAAAGGUUAUCACAUUUGAUCCAUACAUCAUGUGGAGUUUAAAUAAGGAUUGCUUGAGUGAUGCACUUCACCUUCCUCAAACGAUGGGGGACGGAGUGGAAAUCAGAAGAUUUUGGCAUUCACCAUUUUACUCCACCGUGUAAAGCCUGUAUGUCACAGUUACCUCUGCUUCUCAUCCUGCUCAAAAAGAUUGAUCUCCUGGGAGGCUGGAAGUACUGACGGCUGGAGGAGAUAAGAGAAAUCAGUUUCUGUACUCCUUGUAACUGUUUUCAUCAUUCCUAAGCUCUGUGAACCUAAAGCAUCAGGAAGGGGAAGGAGCUGAUGGAAUUGCUGUCAGAAUCCUGGAAGAGGACAGGCAAGCAGCUGGAAUGGAACGACAGUGGCAUCAAAGGUGAGCAAAACAACACUGAACGUUUAUACUUUUGACCUUGUAUACUCAGGAUGGGGUUGGUGACUGCUUCCCAUUCUCGGGUGACAAUAUCAGCUGCAGUGCCUCUGCUAGGAAGUAACUUGUAUGAUUGAUUGAGGUGGUAAGACUGUACCCAGGGAUCAGCUGAUGCCCCUGGCUGCAGCAUCAGUGAGGCAUCGCAGCUUUUCUUAUGUAGAUCUGACUUGUGGCAUCUACAGACAAGGAUCCACCACCUGCACGUUCACACAAAACUCAGAACUUCUCCGUCUGCUAAAUCACACGGAUUGGGUGGGAUGGUUUGUAGAGAGACUUUACUGUACUGUGUACUUUACAUAUACUGUGGCUGAGAUUCAGUUUUGGGAGCAUCUUUUUGUGCUUGUUGUGAAGGGCUUACCGUGUGUUUCAUGGGAUGCUGCUCCGUUGUGCCGUAUGGUAAGGAAGAACACUGCUCAGGUGACUACAAUUGCAUGCCCAGCUCUUCUGGCUGUUUCCAUUUUCACCCAUAUUCUCCAUCUUUGGUUUUUGUGGGGGCUUUUUAUUUUUAGUAUCUGUUAUUUUUUAGUGUCCCUUUUCUUCCUUGACUUUCUUGGUGCAAACAUAAACAUCCAGAUAAAUUGGAAUCCUGUGUCAUCCUUUAAAAACAAAGAUUGCUUGCACUGCAAUAUUCUGAUUCUGAGAAGAAGGUACAUACGUGUAUUUCUUGAAUGUACAUUAACUCUUGAUUCCACCAGCAUGGGUGAUCUCCAGUAAGUUUUUUAAUUAUGCCAGUUUUCCAUGUGAUAACAGUUCCUUUAAACAUGUAAGGACUUAUUUCAAAGAAUGUUUUGAUAGUGAAGAAUGUACUGUGCCACAUUAGCCAUCUGUGGUGCACAGUUGGACAUAAGAAGGUGAUUAAUAGGGAAGAACUUGAAUGCACAGACUUCACAGGAUAAACUUCAAAUUUUUAUUAGCACCAAAUAUCAAGCAGGCUCCAUGACAACAAGUUGUACUUCCAAGCUGGUAAGUUAUUUAGUUUAGGGAAAGCGAGUGGGUAAUGAUACGACACAUUCAUUCAAUUUAUGCACUCUUGUAUUUGCAUUUGUAAAUUCCCAGUGCCUUCAGUUGCACACAGGUCUGAGUUCACAACUUCUGUUCUUCCCCAGAAUGUAGGACUACUUUCAACUAUGAGGCUUAGGAGCAUCUCUGUUCUUGAAAGGCCAAGUAACACAACUUAGCUGCUCACUAGAACAGUCAAAGUGCUUCUGACUCUGGGGGGGAAACAUUCCUGUUUCUCUUUCUAACAUACUGUCAAGUUUAUGCAGCUGAGCUCAUAGCAGGAAGAAUUUCCCCCGCAGCCCUUCCUUGCUUGCAGCCCCACGCAGGCUCUGUACUCAUCUAAUGCCAAUGUCACUUUCAGGUAAAGUUCCUGCAAUUGCAAACCAGUAGCAAUUGGUGGCGAGGGAGGAGGGCUGUGUGAUGUCCUGAUUAUAAAGAAUCAUGGUGACUUGGACUGUCAUUAGCAACAUCUGGUAUAGGUACACUGAGGGAAAGAGGGGAGCUUCCAAGAAAGCACCAGAACCAGCUCCAUGCUGAAACAUUCUUUUCCUAAAGAACUUGCAAAUGCUUCAUCUUAACUGAGUCUGUAAAUAAAAUUAACUUUCUUGGCGGGAAGGAAGAGUUCAGUUCCUUCAGAAAUGAAAGCACAGUGCUAUAUCGGUGUAGAGCUUUUGUUUGGUGGAUUUUUUUGGGGUAGAAGUUACCUGGACAGUUAGCUUUGCCGCAAAGAAAAAUGUGGGGAUGACCUACAGUGCUCAUCCCCUCAGUACUGUGUGGGUGCAGGUGAGCUUUUCAAAACAGCAGAGGGAAUGUUUCUGAGCUGAGGCUGAUCUGAGCAUCUUGGAUGCUAUCAGAAUUGUCUAAUCGUGUCCAUCAGUGACUGAGGAAAGGCCUUGUGGAGGAGGGAGGUGAGGUGCAUCUGAAUAGACUUUCACAAACCAGUUCCCGAAAUCCCUUUAUUUCUGUAGUAAUUUGUUUUAUCUCCAGGAUGAGUACUUUACACUUAAAACUUUUCUCACUGUCAGUAUGGGGAAAUAAAUACAUAGGCAGUACAUGUUAAUAAUUGUUUUUUAUGCUGUACCUUGUACAAAAUUUACUUUGUUUUACAGAUAAAUACAACUAUGUAUUUUCUUUUGUUGUCUGUGAUUCAAACCACAUCCUGUAAUAGUCCUAUGGAAACGUAGUGGGAAGUUUCUACUGUAUAAAGGAUCCCAUGCUUUCAAAUUAUUCCUUUAACCACUGGUACAGGGAAGUUUGUGUUUAAGCAACUCUGUCAUAACAAAAUGUUCUGCCCAAACAACUUCAGCAGAAACGGUGUCAGUGGAUUGGACAUCUCUUCACUAAAGAAACAUCCACUGUCAGGCAGCUUUCAAGAACCUCAUGUUGCUCUCUCACUUGCAUUGGUGUAAUGAAUGCUUUCUGGCUGUUUGAGGGAAUGUAAACUGAGGGGUUUGGCCAGGUCAACAAAAAUCACCAUUUCUAGUGAACAGAAUAACAUACCUAUUUCUAUAUGGAAUAUUUUAUUUAAAAGAAAAAAAAGAAAGAAAGAAAGAAAAAAAGCAAGGCCUUGGGUAAAAUGACUUAUAGAAACUGCUGGGAAACAGCCUUUCAAAUUGCAGUUGCUUGGUAAGUUACUAACAAUAGAUUCUUUGUCUUUUUUAACAUACCAGAAAGUAAGAAACAUACAGGGCUCUGUAUUUUGUACUUUAGAUGUCUCAAGCCAAAAGUUGGGAUGAAGUUUUUAUAGGCUGCCCUCAAGCCUCUUCGGAAGCAUUCUCUGUACAUUCUUGUUUUAUUUGCUACCUUUAGCUUGUUGUCUUUUGUGGCCACAGUGCCAUGCAGACAGAAAGUACUCAACCUACACAGUGAGUAUAAUCAGCUAAAGCUCACAUUCCUGGGUUGUGCUAAGUACAUCUGAGGGAAAUAAGCUGGAUGUCAGCUGAAAUGUCAGCUUGUUGCCGAUUGAAAUAGAAACACCUGUCUGUGCUGAUGUGUAGUUCAGGAAGCAAAGACAACUGAACUAGGAUAGCUGCUGGGGAAGGUACACUGGACUUUGAAUUCUGAAACAGUGGGAUCUUGAAGAUCAAUAGUAAUCUGUAUUUCCCAGGUUAAAGCCUUAGUGGGGAAAUAAAUUAGGCUGUAAAGGUGAUAGAGCUGCUCUUUGCCCACAAAUUUCCAUAAUAUUCAUUAAGUUAUACUUCAGCGUUCCUGAAGGAUAGACCCAGUGGUGACUAUGUGAAAUUGAAAGGCAACGCAUUAAAAUAUAUCUCUAUAUGACAGGUUUUUUGUUUGUUUUUAACGUAUAGUGAACUUCAUUGUUACAAUGUUAAGACUGAAGUGGAAAUCUUCUCAGAAUUCAGAAAAGAACUACAGCUGUGGUCAAUGAGACCAUCUAGUGGUGCAGUUAACAGAAUGAAGGAAGUCCCAGGAAUGCAGGCCUGAGGGUGGAAGAAAUGUCCGCCAACUUUGUGAGGUUUCCUGCAACAAUCUCUAAGCUGUCUGGUUCCCAUUUUCACACCGUGUCUAUCUACCCUUCCAUUAGUCUAUGUUGCUCAGAAGGCACCAAAUUUAGAGGCAAGCUCACAAAAAAGCAGUGUCAGACAAGGUACUUGGCUAAGCAAAAUUCCUUUUGAUUUGACACAGGAGAUCAGGAGUCCCUAAUGUUCCACUGUAACACUGUCUGGCGUUAACUUCCUCUGUUUUCCUAAGUAAUUUCUGAAUAUAAGCAGCUACCUCAGAAAAAGAGAAGUUACUCACUUUCAGAAUUAUCAGUGACAGAUGAGCUCUACACAUGACAAUUGGUUUUGGGUGUACAGCUUUUUGUUACAUUAUUAAACCCGAUCCCCCAGUAUUUUCUGAAGCGUUACCUGUAUUGACUACCACAUAAUUUCAGGUUGCCCUUAAGAGGAAACAGAAGGGAGUAUAAAUUUACCUGGCAAUGGGCAAGCUGCGUAAAUAAAGAAAAAAUCAAUAACGAAGGAUAGAUCAAAUCAAAGGUAAUGAGAAAUGACAAAAAGAAGUAUGCUGCUUUUUUUUAAUUCAGGUACAGUGCGUGUGCUGGCCCACAUGGUAUGCAUAUACUCGUAUAGCUGGCAGUGGUUUGUUUCUUAAAAAGAAUACAAAAGACAUUCUGUUGUAAAGUUUAAAGAAUAUUUAAUAUAUAUUUUUUAAAAAUAAAAUGUAUAUUUUCAAUUUUGUUCUGUAUAUGAAUGCACAAAAAUGUAUAAUCGUCAUUGCAGUGACAAAAUCCAAGGAACUGAGGAGAUCUGCCCACUGUGGUAAGAUACAGGUGACAAUCUAAGAGAAUUCACAAUGGAAUCCAAACACAAUUUCCCAUAGCGAGUCCUGACUUGUUUUCUUACUGUGAAUUGCCUAAGUAGCUAUGAAGAUCAUUCACACAUAGCACAAAUCCUUGUGGACAAUGCUAAUAAUGAGUUGGGUUUUAAAAUAAAUGCCACAAUCAACAUUUUUUUUCUUUCUCUUUUUUUUUCCUGCUUACCUUCAGUGCCACAUUUCUAUCUAGCACAGCAAUGAAGCCGAGUGGUAAGUGAAGGGCAUUAACUUCUUCCAUGCUGACAAACUCCUGUCCUGCCUAUGAAUGGGGGAAGAAGCAGCCUGAAGCCACAUGCACUAAGGGCUCUGAUGGGUAAAUGGAAAUCAGCUUGUGAGCAG